CGGGGUAUGGCCCAAUUGGUAGGGCGCUCGCUUCGGGUGCGAGAGGUUCCCGGUUCGAGUCCGGGUACCCCGA
rnacentral:tRNA from 3 species